AGUUCCUUACUCUGCAGGCAGUCAGCUGAAUGUGUGGGAAUUAUAUGUUGUGGGGUGGCGAGAGAAAUAUUUCUAUUUGUUUGGCUCUUAGAACAUCCCAAAAAGCUUCACAUAUUUAAAUGUAGGCUAUUCUUUUGUAGUUAACCACUGCAACCAGUUUGAACACAGAAAGCAAAAAUUCAAUGAGUUCAACUAUUAAUCUGUUUUGGUGAUUUUGAUUGAGGGUUGCAUGUUGACUAGGACACUGGAGAUCUUUACGAUCUUAUUCAAAAAGUGCACCGUAGAAUCUUUUGCAUCGGUUAAAGUUGAAAAUGAUUUUGAUACCCUUUAGAAUCCCUGCCCAGCAAGGCCCAUCGUGGGAAUAGAGCCACCGUGUGUUGGAGCGUUGUUUUUCAUGAGUUCGACCCUGCCAGUGUUUAAUCUGACCUCAUUAGGUUAAAAUCUGUGGAGAAUUUUGAAUUAGCUGUCCCUUGGCCUGCUGUAGAUGCAGAUGUGCCAGCCAGAUGAAGUGCUCCCUCUUGCAUCCCAGAGAUGGCUAGUCCAGGUAAUGCUUCUAGGAUAUUCAAAAGGUUUUUUUCUCUUCUGAUAACAAACAGUUUUCCAUGAUUUAUGCUUGAACGCAAGUUGACAGUUCUCAACACUAACUAUUUUUGUUUCUCUCUUGCUCCCCACCAGUCUGUAGCAAUAUUGAGGAAUUCAGUAUAUGUGCAAUGCAUACUCGACACCCUGCCAUUAGCUAGGUGCGUUCUGAAGAAGGGUCGCUGGAUCUGAAAUAUUGACUGUAUUUUCUCUCCACAGACACUGCCAGACCUGCUGAGUUUCUCCAGCAAUUUCUGUUUUUGUUUCAGAUUUCCAGCAUCUGCAGUUCUUUAUUUUUUGUUUGGUGUAAUGUAAAGUUGUUUUUUUCCCAGGUAACUUUAGUAUUCAUCUGCCUAAUCAGUAUGUCGAAGCUGUCAUUACAUUGUAUGAAAUUAUUGUUAGUGCUGCUGAUUCCUGACACUACCUUGUGCAGCCAACAGUACCCACAAGCUAAACUUGUCAGAUUUACUGAUGUUAGCCACCAGUUUAAAUAAUGCUGUCCUUUCUGUUUGUAAGGAAUUUUAGUUUGUUACUUGCUGCAUGAGACCCAUAAGCCUGGAGCUGGUGUUACUGCCAGCUUUAAGAAUUGUUCUGGCAGAGGUUUAUACAGUACCUGCAUCUGUCCUCCCAGCUGAGAGGAAUAUUAAUUUUUUGGCAGGAGUUGCAGGGAGAAACAAAUAAGAUUUGAACCAAAAUUGCAAUAUUGUCACUUGCGUAUGUUCAAUGUUUAAUUGUUUUGAUAGGAGAGAAUGAAGAUGAGAAGUUGAACGAGGUGAUGCAGGAGGCUUGGAAGUACAAUAAAGACUGUAAAUGUCUUCGUGACAUGCUGCAGAGCCUCAGCUGGAAUGGGCGGCGGUUCAAUGAUAAAGUCGAUCGCCUGAAACUUGCAGAAAUGGUCAAACAGGUCAUUGAAGAACAAACAAACUCACAGGAUUCCUAAUAUUAGUGCCUGCUGUUUUUACAAUGUACUGGGAGUAUUCUUUGAUAAAUGUAAAAAAGUUUUUAUUUAAAUAAAGAAUUUUAAAACAUU